AACGAACGCUGGCGGCGUGCCUAACACAUGCAAGUCGAGCGCGAAAGGAGCAAUCCGAGUAGAGCGGCGCACGGGUGCGUAACACGUGGAUAAUCUGCCCUUGAAUUCGGGAUAACCUUCCGAAAGGUUGGCUAAUACCGGGUAAGCUCACGGUGACUUCGGUCGCUGUGGGAAAAGUAGACCUCUGUUUACAAGUUUACGUUUGAGGAUGAGUCCGCGGCCCAUCAGCUAGUUGGCGGGGUAAUGGCCCACCAAGGCUACGACGGGUAGGCUGGUCUGAGAGGACGAUCAGCCACACUGGAACUGAGACACGGUCCAGACUCCUACGGGAGGCAGCAGUGGGGAAUUUUCCACAAUGGGCGAAAGCCUGAUGGAGCAACGCCGCGUGUGUGAUGAAGGUCUUCGGAUCGUAAAGCACUUUCGACCGGGACGAAAACCUACUGGCUAACAUCCAGGGGCCGUGACGGUACCGGGAGAAGAAGCACCGGCUAACUCUGUGCCAGCAGCCGCGGUAA
rnacentral:rRNA from 1 species